GUUUGCAUCUCAUCCGGGACCCCAGCCUAGUCCUCGGUGCGCUGGAUCUGCGGCCAUUUUGAGCGUUGCCGGCCGUCGCUCCGGGCAUUUUUUCCCCAGCCCUUCCGGUGUCGUACUGCUCGGGGAAAGUCGCUGUCGCCGCUGCUGGAGAGGACUGCUGCCUAUGCCGCUGCGGCCUGAGCAGACCUAGACGCCGGCUUCCCGCUAGGAUGGCCGCCUGCUGCGCGGGCCGUUCGAGUCUGUGUUGUAGCGUCCGCGGCCGAAGCCGCCGCCCUCUGUGGCUUCUCUGCCGGCGCGGGGUUCGGCCCGGAGCCCUGACUCGACUGCGGGGUGGGGCCGGAACUGCCUAAGUCUCCUCGCGUCCCGCCGACUUGUUCCUUCGCUGAGAAAACUGCCGAGAAGAUGGAGAUGGAUCCGGGAUCGCACAGCUCGCGGCCUGGGCCUCGGGCCCGCGCCUGGUGCCGGCUGCCCGGCUUCCUGCCUUGGCGGUCGGAAGCAGCCGGGUCCAAGUUCCCCACGGCCGCGCCGCAGAGCUCCGGGGACGCCGCUUUGCCUUCCGACGCCCGGCCCGGCUACUGGUCAAAGCUGCUGGCCCAGCUGUUGGCGCCGCUGCCCGGCUUGCUUCAGAAAGUGCUGCUUUGGAGCCAUCUCUUCGGUGCUCUGCUUCCGACCAGGUGGUUGGGCUUAGCCGGCCGGUACAGCGCCCUGAGAAGCUGGCGGGGGCGAGAGGAGGCAGCCGACCCCUCUGCCGACCCCCCGGACCACUCGGUCCCCAGCACUCUGGGUUGGCUGGAGGAGGAGCUCCACUGGCAGUGCCCGGCCUCUGAUCUGGACUUGGGACUCAAAGCCAAGGGCAGCGGACUGAACCCUGCCGUGCACCCGUUUCUCUUGGAGCAGCUGCUGCCCGGUGCCCUGGAGGCCCGUCUGUUUGCUGACCGGGAGCUGGGUUCUUCGCCCUCCGGGCCUCGGAGCAUUCAGCGCUUGGCCAGUGUCAGUGUAGUCUCCUACAUGCUGAGCCCUUCUUCCUAUCUGGACUGCCUCCCCUGGGUGCAGGUGGGCUGCCGGCGCAGCAGCGGAAGUGGCCAGCGGAUGGACGUCCAGAGCCUGGCCUCCGCGAGCAGCUGCUUUUCGGAGGAGCCAGGCGAGCCCCAGCCGCUGUCUGCAGAGCAGCCCCUAGCCUCGUGGCAGGCGUGUCCACCUCCGUCCCAGGAAGGCCUGCCCGAGAUCCACCAUCUGCGAAUGAAACGGCUGGAAUUCCUCCAACAGGCCGGCAAGGGGCAGGACUUGCCCACCCCGGAGCAGGACCACGGCUACCACAGCCUGGAGGAGGAACACAACCUUCUCCGCCUGGAGCAGCAAGGCUGCGGAGGGGACGCGGCCCAGGGUGUUCCCCCGGCCGGAGGUCUCGUUUCCGGAGCCUCCCCGGAGCCCAGUGAGGACGGCCUAGAACUGUGGACGGAAGAGGGUGCUUUGGGCAGCUGUGCUUCGUGCGAGGUGCCCCUGGGCAGGGAGGCUGGGGAGUCCCCAGAGGAGGAGCUGCCCGCCGCGGCCAGGCCGGCGUGUAGCAACAAACUAAUAGAUUACAUUUUGGGGGGUGCCACCAGUGACCCGGAGAGCAGCUCUGAUUCCGAGGGAGAAGGCUGGGAUGAGGAGGCUGAGGACGACGGCUUCGGCAGUGAUGGCUCCUUGUCCGAGUCAGAGCCCGAAGGGGACCCGGAGGACCUUCCCCUCUGGAACUCCUUCUACAGUGUAGACCCCUACAGCCUCCAGAACUUCACAGCCACGCUGCAGACGGCUGCCAAAAGUGCCCCUGCGGACCCUGCCGCGGCCGUGCCAGACUGGGCUGAGCCUUGUGAGCUGGAGGCUGUGCCCCAGGCUGGGAGCCUCCCCGAGACCCCCGAGCCUAGCUCCGAAUCCGAGGACGGGGAGGAGGAGGAGGAGGAUGAGUGGGACUGCAGUGUGGACGAGGCGGAGAGUCUGCAGCUGUGGGACUCUUUUUGCCAUUCCGACGACCCCUACAACCUGUUCAAUUUUAAGGCUCCCUUCCAAACUGCAGGGAAAAGUGGGCAGGGCUGUUCCGACGCCCGGCAGCCACCGGAGUGCAUUGUGGUCACCUCGGAGAGUCACACCUUGCUUACUUGUAAGGUGCAGCUCUCGGACAGCCGAGAAAGUAGACGCCGGGGCCGGGGCCGGACUCGGUGUGGGGGUCUUUCUGGAGAAAGACGCUCACCAAUCAAAAGAAAGGUGACCUUCCUUGAAGAAGUGACUGAGUAUUACUUAAGCGAUGAUGAAGAUCGCAAAGGACCCUGGGAAGAAUUUGCAAGGGAUAGAUGCAGAUUCCAGAAACGAAUCCGAGAAACAGAAGAUGCUAUUGGCUUUUGCUUGACAUUUGAGCACCGACAAAGAACAUUCGACAGACUGCAGGAAGCAUGCUUGAGAAGACCUAAUGCUCCCGAGCAAAAGUGAGACAGUCUAUCCUCCCGCCUGGUUUCUUUUAAAACAAAUAUUGGCAGCUGUCCGUGACAUUUUUUACAAGAGAAAUGAGUUGGAGCCAAUGAUCAGGUUUAUUAUUACUUUUUGCAGCAUAUCGCAUCAGGCACCCUCAUUUGAAGCCAGCCCUAAUAAUAAAGGAAGUGCCGUUCGUGACCCUCCCUGUCCUGUGCUUGUGUGAGAUGAAAAGGGGACCUUUUUAGUUAUAAUUUUGCACUUUCAGAACUUACUUUCUAGGGAAAUAAUACUUAUAGGGCUUAAAGCCUAUUUUCAGUUCUAAUUUAAAUUAUAUAUACCUGUCUGAAAACUUCAAGCUUGCUUUUGGCUUUUUGUUUAUGUUGUUUUGGGGAUUUUUUUUUCCCCCUCACCAUUCUGGAAUUUUGAACUUUGGAUUUUUAGAAAUUUUAGUGAUUUGAUUUGGCCUAUCUUACGGCUAAAAAAGUGAUCUUGUGUUUAUUGCCAGCUUAAAGAACAUUAUCCUGUGUCACUUUUUUUCCCCCAAACACUGAGUUUGGUAGAAAAUGGGCAGUGGCUGUUGGUUUGUGUGUUGAGCUCUGCUGUGCCCAGGAGUUACCCCAGAACCCACGUGUGCUGGACUCAUGGCUGUGGAAAGCCGUGCCUUUCUGCCGGGUUGUAACAGCUGACAUAUUUUGUUCUGUGCAAACUCAGAGAAGGAUCUGUAUGUUAAGAUAACUCCCAUUGUAUGUUUAGACAGGUAGCAGUUUGUAAAACACCCUACAAUGGAAUAGCUGUGUCAUAGGCAUUCGUUUUUUUAAGUAUGAAAGGAGGAAUGCAGCAGACAUUGCAGCAUAGUUUGGUUGUGUUGUCUUUGCAGAAAUGCAGUGUUACUAUAUCGUUCCUCAGCACUGUCACUUUUAAAGCCUGUCAGGUGACACUGAACUUGGAUGGGCAGUACUGAAUUUUCAGGUUGGAAAUAUAAAAUAGAAACUUCAUUCCAGAUCCAUGUUUAUUGUAUUCUGUGUUAAUGAGAGAAGUCAUGGCAAGGCCUAUACUUGCAAGGAAAGAGUACAACUAGAGAUGUAACAGCUGGAAAGGCCGCCUCAGGCCUCUGCUUGACUUGGCGUGGGCGCCCUGCGCUCUGUCUGUGGUGUGCCUCCGAGGGGUGCAGGGGGUGGGAACGUGCAGUGACGGGGGCUGUUUGUGCCCUGGGCCGCCUCCCAUAGGUAGUGGGGAACAUCAGUAGAGUAGGUGAGCUCUCCUUGUGAAUGCAUUGCAGUGUGGGGCAGAAGUUUUCAUCUGUGCUUGCCAGGUUACUACCUCAAGUCUUCAGCUACCUGGCCUGCAGUGCUAGUGUUUGGAAUCUCUUGGGCACACACUGUGAGUGCGAGGCCAGCAAGGUCAGCAAAGUCUUGGCAGCGCCCUUUUGAGCCCCGAGGCCCUUUAGGGGCACACUUAGGAAGCCUAUGGCCCUUGGAAGGCAUCCCCGUGGCAGUGGUGAGCAUUCCUCUAAAACCAGACUGAAGCGUGGGUUAGGUUUUGUGUUAGGAAUCUGGCCCUUCUGUCCCAAGUACUGGGUUAUCUUCACUUGGGACGAGAGCCUCACAGCCCCUGGAGCAAAAGCUGUGUUAGGAAUUCUCACAUAUGCCACACGCCUGUAGAGUGAUCGGAAAGACCAUGUUAAAACUAUCCUGAAGGAGAAAAACUUGUCUAUUUCAUCCCAGUUCUUGCUUUCCUAAGAAUGCUAGAAAGAAAUGCCUUGGAGGUCCUGGUUGGACAUGUACACAUUUCAAAUCUUGUAAUGGUGCUAUGCGUGUAAAUGUAGCAUGGGAAAGGUUUUGUCCAGACAGGUCAGCUGUCCAGUUCUGAAUGGUGAGAUGUGAAGACACCUCUUCAUCUGUAACUUGAAACUUUCAUCAGGUUUUAUUUUUUAUAAUUUAAGGAAGGUGAAGUUAGGGAACAAGAGGACUUCUGAGUUGGCUUCUUCAGAUCCAGUGUAAAAUGUAAAUAGUUGAGGAUUUUAUAGCUAAAAUUCUAUUUGUGUAUAUAACAGCUAAUCUGUACAUUAUAAUAAAUAUAUUUGCAAUUAAA